GGCUCAAUGGUCUAGCGGUAUGAUUCCUGCUUUGGGUGGCCCACUUUAAUGCAGGAGGUCCCGGGUUCAAUCCCCGGUUGAGCCC
rnacentral:tRNA from 2 species